UUAUUUUCUUUUAAUAUAAGUAUCAUAUUGUAUAUAGGAAAAAUUGUAUAAAAAUGAGAGGAAUUCUUUCAAACGAAGAAUAUUUUUUUUACCAGUAUAAAUUAUAAAUACGGGGUUUAUCAAGACGUCUUGUAAUUUUUGUGCCAGUAUAAUAAAAGUAAAUUAUUGUCGGACUCGGACAUACAAUAAUUACAAUUCUUGUAAUAUCUGGUAUUAGUAGUGAAAGUCUUUUUCAGUCAGUCAAGUUUUUCUCAAAUUAAGGCUCCAAAAAAGGAUACAAAGAAAUUAUCAAAUAUAAAUGACUAUAAAAGAAGGAAUUUAGGAAUUAGUGAAGAAUGUGGAAUUUGAUGAAGGCAAAAGUAUGACAUCUUGUGUCAUGUCGACAUUAUAUAUAUAAAUGUAUCAUUUAGAGUCUGACUAAUGGAAGAUUGUGCAAGUAAUUGAAGAAAAAUGAUAAAAAGCGAAAAUUCAUUGGAUUUUUUAGAGAAAUUUCAUCAAAGCAUAUAUGAAAUACAUCGUACUUGUGUGUGUGUGUGUGAUUCAGAGGAAAUUUUACCAAACCCAUCACGAACCUGACCUACAUAUUCGUGUUGCACGUGUGACAGUCGAACGUGUCUUCCAACUUCUAUGCCGACACUCGCCAAGGUGUGGACGUGCUUGUCUGCGUUCACGGGAGUUCACAGUACCUAAGCCAUAAUAAGCAUCUUGGCAUCAAAUCAACCUCCACCAGUUUACACUUUCCAAGUGAUAGUCGAACGAUCAAUGAUAUUCGAUAUAUAAGAAGGAUCAUAAGUGAAAGGACGCGUCUCUUGGGACGCACAGAAAAAUAAUUAGCAUACAAGUGACGGACCUAUAUGGACAAAUGAUGUUAAUCUCUGAAUUUCUGAAGAACAAAUUCAUCUUCUAAUGGUGGAAGUUAGAUGUGGUGAAAAGGAUGUUAUAUACCAACGCUGAAACUAUCGAACAUGUCCCA